CUCAACGACCGUACCGCAAACCGACACUGGUGCGCGAGAUGAGUAUUCUAAGGCGCUUGAGAGAACUCAGGAGAAGGAACUCGGCAAAUUGACACCGUAACUUCGGAAGAAGGUGUGCCCUAUUAGUGUGAAGUGAACAACGGAGCAUGAAUGGGUUGCAAAAAAUCGGUGGCUGCGACUGUUUAUUAAAAACACAGCACUCUGCAAACACGAAAGUGGACGUAUAGGGUGUGACGCCUGCCCGGUGCUGGAAGAUUAAAUGAUGGGGUGCAAGCUCUUGAUUGAAGUCCCAGUAAACGGCGGCCGUAACGAUAACGGUCCUAAGGUAGCGAAAUUCCUUGUCGGGUAAGUUCCGACCUGCACGAAUGGCGUAACGAUGGCCACACUGUCUCCUCCUGAGACUCAGCGAAGUUGAAAUGUUUGUGAUGAUGCAAUCUCCCCGCGGAAAGACGGAAAGACCCCAUGAACCUUUACUGUAGCUUUGUAUUGGACUUUGAACAGAUCUGUGUAGGAUAGGUGGGAGGCUUUGAAGCAGGGUCGCUAGAUCUUGUGGAGCCAACGUUGAAAUACCACCCUGGUGUGUUUGAGGUUCUAACCUAGGUCCAUUAUCUGGAUCGGGGACAGUGCAUGGUAGGCAGUUUGACUGGGGCGGUCUCCUCCCAAAGCGUAACGGAGGAGUUCGAAGGUACGCUAGUUACGGUCGGACAUCGUGACGAUAGUGCAAUGGCAUAAGCGUGCUUAACUGCGAGACUGACAAGUCGAGCAGAUGCGAAAGCAGGACAUAGUGAUCCGGUGGUUCUGUAUGGAAGGGCCAUCGCUCAACGGAUAAAAGGUACUCUGGGGAUAACAGGCUGAUACCGCCCAAGAGUUCAUAUCGACGGCGGUGUUUGGCACCUCGAUGUCGGCUCAUCUCAUCCUGGGGCUGUAGCCGGUCCCAAGGGUAUGGCUGUUCGCCAUUUAAAGAGGUACGUGAGCUGGGUUUAAAACGUCGUGAGACAGUUUGGUCCCUAUCUUCCGUGGGCGCUGCAGAUUUGAGGAAGCCUGCUCCUAGUACGAGAGGACCGGAGUGGACACACCUCUGGUGUAUCGGUUGUCACGCCAGUGGCAUUGCCGAGUAGCUAAGUGUGGAAGAGAUAACCGCUGAAAGCAUCUAAGCGGGAAACUCGUUUCAAGAUGAGAUCUGCCGGGGCCUUGAGCCCCCUGAAGAGUCGUUCAAGACCAGGACGUUGAUAGGUCAGGUGUGGAAGCGCAGUAAUGCGUUAAGCUAACUGAUACUAAUUGCUCGUGCGGCUUGACCC
rnacentral:rRNA from 1 species